UACGGGGGGGAGCAAGCGUUGUUCGGAUUUAUUGGGCGUAAAGAGCUCGUAGGCGGUUCCGUAAGUCGUGAAGUCAAAUCUCUGGGCUCAACCCAGAAUCGCUUCCGAUACUGCGGUGACUGGAGUCCGGUAGGGGGAGUGUGGAAUUCCUGGUGUAGCGGUGAAAUGCGCAGAUAUCAGGAGGAACACCAACAGCGAAGGCAGCACUCUGGGCCGGUACUGACGCUGAGGAGCGAAAGCAUGGGGAGCGAACAGG
rnacentral:rRNA from 1 species